GGCCCAAACUCCUACGGGAGGCUGCAGUAGGGAUCUUCCACAAUGGGCGAAAGCCUGAUGGAGCAACGCCGCGUGUGUGAUGAAGGCUUUCGGGUCGUAAAGCACUGUUGUAUGGAAGAAAAGUUAAGGUAGGGAAUGACCUUAGCCUGACGGUACCAUACCAGAAAGGGACGGCUAAAUACGUGCCAGCAGCCGCGGUAAUACGUAUGUCCCGAGCGUUAUCCGGAUUUAUUGGGCGUAAAGCGAGCGCAGACGGUUGGUUAAGUCUGAUGUGAAAGCCCGGAGCUCAACUCCGGAAAGGCAUUGGAAACUGGUUAACUUGAGUGCAGUAGAGGUAAGUGGAACUCCAUGUGUAGCGGUGGAAUGCGUAGAUAUAUGGAAGAACACCAGCGGCGAAGGCGGCUUACUGGACUGUAACUGACGUUGAGGCUCGAAAGUGUGGGUAGCAAACAGGAUUAGAUACCCUGGUAGUCCACACCGUAAACGAUGAACACUAGGUGUUAGGAGGUUUCCGCCUCUUAGUGCCGAAGCUAACGCAUUAAGUGUUCCGCCUGGGGAGUACGACCGCAAGGUUGAAACUCAAAGGAAUUGACGGGGACCCGCACAAGCGGUGGAGCAUGUGGUUUAAUUCGAAGCAACGCGAAGAACCUUACCAGGUCUUGACAUCCUUUGAAGCUUUUAGAAAUAGAAGUGUUCUCUUCGGAGACAAAGUGACAGGUGGUGCAUGGUCGUCGUCAGCUCGUGUCGUGAGAUGUUGGGUUAAGUCCCGCAACGAGCGCAACCCUUAUUGUUAGUUGCCAGCAUUCAGAUGGGCACUCUAGCGAGACUGCCGGUGACAAACCGGAGGAAGGCGGGGACGACGUCAGAUCAUCAUGCCCCUUAUGACCUGGGCUACACACGUGCUACAAUGGCGUAUACAACGAGUUGCCAACCUGCGAAGGUGAGCUAAUCUCUUAAAGUACGUCUCAGUUCGGACUGCAGUCUGCAACUCGACUGCACGAAGUCGGAAUCGCUAGUAAUCGCGGAUCAGCACGCCGCGGUGAAUACGUUCCCGGGUCUUGUACACACCGCCCGUCACACCAUGGAAGUUUGUAAUGCCCAAAGCCGGUGGCCUAACCGUAAGGAGGGAACC
rnacentral:rRNA from 1 species